rnacentral:misc_RNA from 1 species
GAGAUUUUAAUCUCCUAAUCCUAAGAGGGAAAUAAAUCUACAUUGUUGCAAUAUUAGAUAAUCCAAAACACAUCAGGAAGUUUAGAUAAAAGAAGAAAAACUAUAACCUAGUUGAAAUAUGAAAACUAAAAAAAAAAAUCCUCAUUAAAAUAGGAAAAUUAACUAAAUCUACACUAAAUCAGUGGCUGAAUUUCUUCCAAAACAGUUUGGAAACCACCACAUUUAUUAUUCUUUUCAUUCAGGUACUUGGGUGCAUUACAAAGAAAAACCUCAAAUAGAAAUUUCAAAAUGUUGAAGAUGCUCAAAAUGCCAUUGCUUCUUUGAUGCUAUGUUUUGAUGGAAGAAUUUCAAAUAAGGGAUUGAAACAUGAUUUUAGUUUAAAUUGUU